ensembl:lncRNA
UGUUGUUUCUAUGGUAUGGGCAGGUCUGUAUUGUUGUCAUUAUGGUAUGGGACAGGUCUGUGUUGUAUAUGGUAUGGGACAGGUCUGUGUUGUAGUCAUUAUGGCAUGGGACAGGUCUGUUUGUAUAUGGUAUGGGACAGGUCUGUGUUGUAGUCAUUAUGGUAUGGGACAGGUCUGUUUGUAUAUGGUUUUGGACAAGUCUGUGCUGUAUAUCGUAUGGAAAAAUUAUGUAUCUUAUAUGGCAUGGGACAUGGCUUUAUAGUAUUCAUUAUGGUGUGCGACAUGUGUGUCUUGUAUAUGGUAUGGGACAGGUCUAUAUUGUAGUCAUUAUGGUAUGGGACAGGUAUUUGGUGUAUAUGGUAUGGGACAGAUCUGUUUAUGGUAUGGGACAGUUCUGUGUUGUAUACGGUAUGGGACAGAUCUGUAUUGUAGUCAUUAUGGUAUGGGACAGGUCUGUGUUGUACAUGGUAUGGGACAGGUCUUUGUUGUACAUGGUAUGGGACAGGUCUUUGUUGAAUAUGGUAUGGGACAGAUCUGUGUUGUAUAUCGUAUCGGACAGGUCUUUGUUGUUUAUCGUAUGGAACAGAUCUGUGUUGUAUAUCAUUUUGGACAGGUCUGUCAAAACAGUUAUUAUAGUAUAGGACAAUACGGUCCACAGCGUAGAGACUCUAGACUGCUCUGUACCUGCAGAGCCCUGCUCCGUCCAGACAUACCCACUGCAGUCCUGGAGCUUGGCUCUACAGCAGCCUCUGACCCACCCAGCUCCGCCUCCGGAUGCACCCUGCCGUCCCGCAUCCUGAACUCCACCGAGGCGAAUGACGACAUGCUGCCGUUUUUCCUAGCCCAGGUCCGGGAUGUGUCCACAGCUGUCUCCCUCUUAGACCUGCCCUGCAACCCCUGAUCCUUGCCCUCUGACCUCUCCCUGGCCCCGUUCCCGUUGAGACUGAGAUUGUCAAGGAAGGGGUCUGAGUCGCUGCUGUGGGACAUGUUAUAAUAGGUGCACUUAGGGGUUGGAGGUCGGGCCAGUUCCUCUAGCUCGGAGGAGGAGAGGACAGACAGGGGGUUGAGGUGGUGGUGAUGGUGGAGGGAGGUGGAGGAGAGGUGGUCGUAGGCUGGAGCCUCCUCACUGAGGGUUGUAUCCAUGGACGUGUUGUCAAGGUUACCGUACAUCCCCAUGGGAACCGGGGGAGAUUUCCUGAUUAGGUGAUUCUCCUUAAGAAGCCAGCGCCCUUGGUCAAUCAGAACCCCCUCACUAGAGUCAGGGAGGCUCUUAGAGUCUGCUGCGCUCUGCCACACUCCUCCCACCCCUUCAGGAGAGUCCUCCUCCUUAAAUAGCCAACGUCCCUGAUCGAUCAUCCUGACCAGCUCUGGUCCUGGUUCUGUCUUCACUGAGCUGGACCCGCUGACGCACGACAGGCUCUCCCCACAGACUUUAGCCCCAGAGUGACAAGACUCAAAGCUCCCUGUGGGCCUCUUCCCUUCAAGACUCUCAGGGCUCCUUAACUGAUCUACUUUCAUUUCUGACGAGGGUUUAGAGGCCCAGAGCGCCAGAGAGGUAGUACUGGCUUUACUCUGCUUGCCACUAGUCUGUCUGAUACGUCGAAAGCCAGGCGAGUGUCUCCCUGCCUCUUCCUUGUCUUCGUCUCCGCUCUCCGUUGACAUGUCCACUGACCCCUGGGUCUUGUACCCUCCGCUGCUGGAUGUCUCAGGUCUGUAGUCAGACAGGUCAGAGGUGUUGGGGCUGGGCAGUCUCUUCAGGCCAUACUGGCUGUCGACGCACCCGUUAAAUAUAACCAUCUGCUUGGUAUGGACGACCCUGGUUGCCCCCUCCGGUUCGAUCCGCAGGUUACCCUUAGGGUCGUAGGUGAACAUCAGGGAGGAGGACUUCAGAGCAGUGUUGACAAAGUCUAGAAGCUCCUGAGAUAUCUCAACAGGAUGGGAGCAGUCUUUACCACUGACCUCUUCUUCCUCAUCUUCCUCUCCUUCGUCAGUCUUUAGUUCGUUGGAGGUGUCUAGACCCUGAUCUUUGACACCACAGAGGUAUAUGGCUCUAGAGGAGGAGUUGUUGGACACUACGUCAACCUCCUCGUGUUCUGAGACUUUACGCUCUACCUCAGAUUGAUCUGACUUUACAGACUUAUCUGACUUUACAGACUGCCUUGAAGUCAUUGACUUUUCUGAAUUUACGGAUUUCAUUGAUUUCUCAGACAUUACAGAUUUCUCGGACUUUACUGAAUUAUCUGACUUUAAAGACUUAAUUGACUUCCUUGACAUUGAUAGUUCAGACCCAACCUCUGCUGCCUCCUCUUCCUCCACCUGCUCCCCCUCAUCAUAAUUCUGCUCUUCACAGCUGCCCUGGUCCUCCUCCUUCUCCUCUCCCUCCUCUUCUAAACCUCGUUCUUCUAUAUAACAGACUUCAUCUAACAUCCUGCCACUGGAACAGACUUUGUUAUCUGAGGAUGGAUGACUAUCAACACUCCUGCCCUCUUCAAAGUCUGAUUCAGAUCUCUUGUCCUCACUCUCCACCACUUCUUCCUUCUCCUCUUCCCCCACCUCUUCUCUCUCCUCCUCUUCUUCUUCACCUUCUCCCUCCUCUUCCUUUUCUGCUAACUCCUUCCUCUGCCUCUCAACCUCCUCACCCUCCUCCUCCUCUGUCUCCUCCUGCUCAUCUCCUUCCUCCUCCACCCUUUCCUCCUCCCCCUCAUAAUCUCCCUCCAUAUCCUUAACUUCCUCCUCAACCAACUCCUCGUAUUUCUCCUCCUCUUCCUCAUUAUCUCCCUUCUCUCCAUUCUGUGCCUUUUCAUCCUCCUCCUCUUCUUUCUCAUCCUCCUCCACCUCCUCCACCUUAACUACC